rnacentral:rRNA from 1 species
UUGCCAGCCCGCUCAAGAAACUCAAAUGAAUUGACGGGGACCCGCACAAGCAGCGGAGCAUGUGGUUUAAUUCGAAGCAACGCGAAGAACCUUACCAGAUCUUGACAUCCAAUUGACCAUUCUUUUAAUCGAGAUUUUGCCUUCGGGUACAAUUGAGACAGGUGGUGCAUGGUUGUCGUCAGCUCGUGUCGUGAGAUGUUGGGUUAAGUCCCGCAACGAGCGCAACCCUUGCCUUUAGUUGCCAGCAGUUCGGCUGGGCACUCUAAAGGGACUGCCGGUGUUAAACCGGAGGAAGGUGGGGAUGACGUCAAGUCCUCAUGGCCUUUAUGACCAGGGCUACACACGUACUACAAUGGCCGAUACAAAGGGCAGCGACACUGCGAGGUGAAGCCAAUCCCGUAAAAUCGGUCUCAGUCCGGAUUGGAGUCUGCAACUCGACUCCAUGAAGUUGGAAUCGCUAGUAAUCGUGGAUCAGCAUGCCACGGUGAAUACGUUCCCGGGCCUU